GCCCUCGUUGUCUAAUGGUUAUGCCGUCAGACUUCUACGCUUGACGUGAUCUGGAGGCUGUGGGUUCGAGUCCCACCGGGGGCU